rnacentral:rRNA from 1 species
UAAUACCAGCUCUCCGAGUGGUAGGGACGAUUAUUGGGCUUAAAGCGUCCGUAGCCUGUCAGGUAAGUGUCCCGUUAAAUCCAACGACCCAAUCGUUGGACUGCAGGAUAUACUAUCUGACUAGGGGACGGGAGAGGUCGACGGUAUUCCUGGAGUAGGGGUGAAAUCCUAUAAUCCCAGGAAGACCACCAGUGGCGAAGGCGGUCGACUAGAACGGGCCCGACGGUGAGGGACGAAAGCUAGGGGAGCGAACCGGAUUAGAUACCCGGGUAGUCCCAGCUGUAAACGAUGCGGGCUAGGUGUUGGAUCGGCUACGGGCCGAUUCAGUGCCGCAGGGAAGCCAUUAAGCCCGCCGCCUGGGUAGUACGGCCGCAAGGCUG